rnacentral:rRNA from 1 species
UACGUAGGGGGCUAGCGUUGUCCGGAAUCAUUGGGCGUAAAGCGCGCGUAGGCGGCCCGGUAAGUCCGCUGUGAAAGUCCAGGGCUCAACCCUGGAAAGCCGGUGGAUACUGCCGGGCUAGAGUCCGGAAGAGGCGAGUGGAAUUCCUGGUGUAGCGGUGGAAUGCGCAGAUAUCAGGAGGAACACCGAUGGCGAAGGCAGCUCGCUGGGACGGUACUGACGCUGAGGCGCGAAAGCAUGGGGAGCGAACAGG